GGAGUUGUAGCUCAGUCUGGUAGAGCGGCAGAUUGCAACGAGCAAUCAUCUGUAGGUCCCUGGUUCGAACCCUGGCAGCUCCU